UGAGUCAUCGAAUCUUUGAACGCACAUUGCGCCCUUUGGUAUUCCGAAGGGCAUGCCUGUUCGAGCGUCAUUAUCACCCCUCAAGCCCUCGGCUUGGUGUUGGACGGUUUGGUGGAGGCCCCCUCGGGGGCUCCUGCCCCUCCCAAAGACAAUGACGGCGGCCUCGUUGGACCCCCGGUACACUGAGUUCUUCACGGGACACGUAUCGGACACAUGGGUUUACGGGACACGGUCUGCCUCCCCUCAGGGAGAAUCUUUCUAAGGUUGACCUCGGAUCAGGUAGGGAUACCCGCUGAACUUAAGCAUAUCAAUAAGCGGAGGAAAAGAAACCAACAGGGAUUGCCUCAGUAACGGCGAGUGAAGCGGCAACAGCUCAAAUUUGAAAUCUGGCCUCUUUGGGGUCCGAGUUGUAAUUUGUAGAGGAUGUUUCGGGUACCGCCUCGGUUUAAAUUUCUUGGAACAGAAUGUCAAAGAGGGUGAGAAUCCCGUCUUGGACCGGCGGUAGGGCCCAUGUGAAACUCCUUCGACGAGUCGAGUUGUUUGGGAAUGCAGCUCAAAAUGGGUGGUAAAUUUCAUCUAAAGCUAAAUAUUGGCCAGAGACCGAUAGCGCACAAGUAGAGUGAUCGAAAGAUGAAAAGCACUUUGAAAAGAGAGUUAAACAGUAUGUGAAAUUGUUGAAAGGGAAGCGCUUACAACCAGACUUGCGCGCGGCGGUUCCCCCUUCCUUUUGGUUGGGCUACUCCGUCGUGUCCAGGCCAACAUCGGUUCUGGGGGUCGGUUAAAGACCCUGGGAAUGUAUCUACCCUUCGGGCGUAGACUUAUAGCUCAGGGUGUCAUGCGACCUCCCGGGACCGAGGAACGCGCUU
rnacentral:rRNA from 1 species